CCUACGGGAGGCAGCAGUGGGGAAUAUUGGACAAUGGGCGAAAGCCUGAUCCAGCCAUGCCGCGUGAGUGAUGAAGGCCUUAGGGUUGUAAAGCUCUUUUAUCCGGGAAGAUAAUGACUGUACCGGAAGAAUAAGCCCCGGCUAACUUCGUGCCAGCAGCCGCGGUAAUACGAAGGGGGCUAGCGUUGCUCGGAAUCACUGGGCGUAAAGGGCGCGUAGGCGGAUGAUUAAGUCGGAGGUGAAAGCCCAGGGCUCAACCCUGGAAUUGCCUUCGAUACUGAUCGUCUCGAGAAUGGAAGAGGUAAGUGGAAUACCGAGUGUAGAGGUGAAAUUCGUAGAUAUUCGGUGGAACACCAGUGGCGAAGGCGACUUACUGGUCCAUUUCUGACGCUGAGGCGCGAAAGCGUGGGGAUCAAACAGGAUUAGAUACCCUGGUAGUCCACGCCGUAAACGAUGAAUGCCAGCCGUUGGGGAGCUUGCUCUUCAGUGGCGCAGCUACGUACUUAACGUACUAUUCCGUCCGUCGGGAGGUACGGUCGCGAAGAAUUAAACUAACAAAGGAAGUUAGUACGGCGUGAGACGUGCCGAACGGACGACGACGAGGGAGUAGG
rnacentral:rRNA from 1 species